rnacentral:tRNA from 1 species
AAUUAGAUAGCCAUAAGGCAGCUUAAUUUCGACUUAAGCCAUGAUUAUGUAGUGAAGUUC